rnacentral:lncRNA from 1 species
UGUCAAAAUAAAAAUGUAAUACCAGAAGAAAAGAUAUAGUAAAGCAAAAACUUUCACAUGCCACACUGCACGAUCAUGCAGUGUUUAUUAUUCCAUUGAUUAUUUAUUUGUUCAUUUCCAUACACACAAUUAAAAACAGAGUCUAAGGGACUUUGUUUAGUCACAUGCAUGAUACAUAGUUAUACUUGCUCAGUUCUUAAUGACCUCCUCCACCUCAGAGUUGUGACAUGCUUUAUAGCAGAAUUUAUGAGUAUCAAAGCACUGACACUGGGGAGGAUAAGAUAGUGCACAAAUGCAACUGUCGCAUGCUGAGUGACAAGUUUCUCCAACAUCAACACAGCGACACGUAGGAGGGUCUGAUUUUGUGCAAAGGCAGGUAUCACAACAUGCUGAUUUGACAUCAUCACCAUUGGAGAGCACUUGAGUUAUGAAGGAAGUUGAAUCAAAACGAGCGUUAACAACAUUUGCGGCGAAGCUCAAGAGGAAAACCAUUAGAGCUAACUUCAUCAUUACCUUCUUAUUCAUCAACUCCAUUCUAACUCUUUUUCUCUUUCUUACUUUCUCUCUCUCUCUUUCUUUAUUUGCCUUGUGAAAAAGCAUGAAGCUACAUAGAUCUAUUUAUAUUGGUAUUUUUAUUCAAUUUUAUUAAUUUAAGUAUGUUUAUAGGCGUAAUUAUCCUCUAUUAUAUUAUUAACUUUUGGUUCAUCUUUCGUACGUGUAGACAUUUUUCUGACGAAAUGCAUAUCUGUAGACAUAAGGCCAUGCCAUGUAUAAGAACAUGUAUUAUUCAUUAUUAUAAUUUACACGUGUACCUAUUGCACUAAAAACUAAAUAAUUAACAAUUAGAGAUUACAUUAAUAUAAUUAAAUAAUUAACAAUUGAGAGGCAACAAUAGCAUGAAGCUACAUAGAUAUAUUUAUGUAGGUAUUUUAAAUCCAUUUUAUUAAUAUAAGUGUUGUCCUUAAAAAAUAUUAAAUUUUUUUUCUGUCUCACUUGUCACUUGUCAAUUUUUUUCUGGUGCAUGUGACUAAUAAGCAUAACAUUUAUUUUUUUCUUUCAACGAUUCCAUUUAAUCGAGGAGAAUAAUAAGAGAGGGUUACUUCACAAAAUUAUUCCUUCUUUUUUUUUUCAAAAAUCAUUAAAAGAAAUAUAUUCUCCUCCUAUAUCAUAUCUAACUCUUUUUAUUUUUUUAUUUAAUUGAUUUUCAACCUCGACUUUGUAUAAGAUAAAUUUAUGAACGCUUCAUCUUUAUGUUUUAACAAAUAAGCUUUAGUGAAUCUUGAACAAUCAUCUAUAAAUGUUUUAUAAUAAUUAUUUCGUCCUCUAGAUGUAGUUUGCUUUAAGUCUCCUUAAUCAAUACGAAUUAGACCAAUAAGAUCAGAUUCACAUUGCACAUACAUAUAUUUUUUGUGUGUUAAUUUUGAUUCUAAACAAAUAUCACAUUGACCAGAUUGCUUAUUAUUUAAAGUAAUCAUAUCAAGAAAUUGUAUUGUAUUAAUAUAAGAAGAAUUAACAUGUCAUAUAUCAUAAGAAUCAAUCAAGUAAGCAUAAGAAGAAAUUUUAUUAUUCAUAACUUCAUAAAUGUUCAACACAAAGAGUCUCGGGUCACAAUAACUUUUUCCACACAAAUACAUUAUUCUUUGUCAUUAUAAUCUUGUUAGAUUCAAAUGACCCUUUAACCGCACCAUUGCUCAAAAGAGCCACAUAAAUUAAAUUAGUCCUAAUAUUAGACGUAUGUAAUACUUCACUUAAAGCCAAUGUCUUUCCUGAUGUGAACUUUAAUAUAACUUUUCCUUUUUCUGAAAUUGCAACAGUUUGAGAAUCGCCCAGAUAAAAUCGUUCUUCUCCAUCCUCCACAAUAGGUAAAGGCAUCUUUAUUAGCACAAAUGUGCCUAGUAGCCCUAAAGUCUAUUACCCAUUUGUUCGCAUCAGUCACAAUAUUUGCUUGAGCAAUGACAACAACAAUAAUAUCACCUCCUUCAGCCAAAUUAGCUUUAGAAGGAUUGUCAUUCCUCUUGCAAUGUUUGCAUUGAGGUGCAUGAUGACCUGACUUAUUACAAACGUAAUAUUCUUCUCUUUUUUAAAGUGAGAUUAGUAACACAAGGGAUAAAAUUAUUAUUAUUAUUAUGACCAGAUUUAUGAUCGGGUUUGUGAUCGUACCUCUUUUUGUAAAACUUAUUACUAGUGUUAUUAUGGACCAAAUUUGCUCGAGAAACAAAACUUUUUUCCUUGGUAGCCUUGCUCUCCUUUAUAUUUGUACCCUCGAUAAUGAUGUGUGUGAUCAAAUCUGCUAAAGGUAAUUUCUUUUGCUUAUGUUUGAGUUGAUUCUUGCAAUCCGUCCAUGAUUCCAACAUCCUCUCAAUGAGAAUUCCAACAAUGAAUUAACCUGGCAAAGUUAUUUUCAACUUUCAGUUCUUCUAACAAUUUAUGAUACUCGUUGAUCUGCGCCUUUAUAUCUUUAUCUUCCGACAUUUUCCAAUGAUAGUAAUUUCCGAUCAAAUUUUUUUCUCUUCCAGCGAUAUAAUUUAGAUUCACCGAAUCCCAUAUCCAUUUUGCUUCCUUGUAUGGGCAGUAGAAAUCAAACAAAUUGUUAGAAAGAGUACUUAAUAUUGUGUGUCGACAUACCUUGUUUGCAUGUGCCCAUUGAUCGAUAAAUUUUUGAGUUGCAGACGAUGCUGGUUUCAAUUCUUAGAGAGCAUAUGCAACACCAUGCAUGUCAAGGAUGAAGUGAACAUGCUCAUACCAUCUGCGAAAGUUUUGGCCAUUGAAAACUUCAAUUUUUGACACAUUGGGGAAUGAUUUAGUGUAAUUGAUAUUCGGCACAACGAGAGGUGGUUGUUGUUGAAUAGUUUCAACAUUGUUGAUUUGAGGUUGACGGUUGGAGUCAUCACUGGAAUUGUCUUUGAUAGACAAAAUCCUCGAGAUUGUUGAAUAAUUUGCUAUGAAGACCUGUAAAAUAAGAUUGGGUUAAAUAAUCUGAGACGCGCUGACCGCGUUGUCCUCAAGGAUUUUCCACGUAAUACGCUAACCCUUUAGGAUUUAUCCGAUUCUUCUCAGUAAAUCGAGGAUACAAAACUCGCAAGAAAAAUUAUUUGAGCUAUUAGAAAUUAAUCCAGAAUUAAGAAAAAUCAAAUUAAAAAACGAUUUUUUAAAUAGUGUUUUUUCUUGUAUUAUGUGCAAAGCCUCACUUGUCUACUUCUUUUUUUGUCCUUUCUAUGUAUUAUAUAUUCUAGUAGAGAAGAAUAGAAUAAUAAUCAAUAAAAAUCAAUAAAUGAUUUCAUUACUUUUAGAAUAUCACAUUUUAUCGCCAUUAUUCUGAAUAAAGAUUUUAACGUCAAUGUAAUAACAGAAUGCAAGUAAUAAUAUUUUGUUACUUAAUUUGAAAUUGAAAAAUAUUAUAGAUAUUGAAUGACGUUUUAAUUUUAUUUACAUUUUUUAUUUUUAAUAUUAUACACACAUGUUAAUUUAUCGUUUUUAUUAAAUACAUCACUAUCAAACUUGUACUCAUUUUAAAAUAAAUGUUUGUUUAUUUAUUAUCUCAACAAUAAUAUCUUUGAAUUUUUUUUAAUGUUUUUAAAAACUUCAAAUGACAUGAUAAAUUAUUUUUUAUUAGAAAUGUGAGUAAACAGGUAUGGAUAUGAGUACUUAGGUACGCAUAGGGUACGAGGACAAAUAUAAAUAUUGGUGCCCAUGCGAAUAUAGACUCGGGUAAGGAGAAUUUUUUAAACUGCAGGUACGGGAACAUGUACUAUGCUCAAACCAUGCUCAUCCCACAAAUCCUAGACCAACCAAAAGAAGACAUGGAACCGCGGAAGCUAUGAGUGAAGGUGCUUAGUGGAAAUCGAAACCCUGGGAAUGGGAUAGCGAUUGAGUUCGCAACUCCUAAGAUUGCCAAUGGUGAGAUUGAAAUCGAGAUAGAAGAAGCUGACAUAGAGACUAAGGUAAAGUUUUGGGACUCUGCACUAAUAAUGUAUGUCAUAGGUGGUGAAGUGGGAAUGAAUGUUGUUAAGCAGUUUAUGAUGACGAAGUGGAACUUUGUAAAGCUUCCUGACAUGUACUAUAAGGAUGAACGUUACUUAAUUUUGAGGUUUCACUCCCAUCUUGAUAGGGUUGCAGUGAUGUUGAGGGGCCCGUAUACUAUCAUCAAUAUGCCUAUGUUGUUGAGGGAAUGGAAAACAAAUUUCAACCUCAAGAAUGAUAUGUUGUGAAACCUCCCAAUCUAGGUGAAAUUUCCUCAAAUCCCUCUCCAUUUUAGUGGAGGUAGACUUCACCCAAAAACUAACAAAUGAAAUCACCAUCAAAUAUGCAUAAGGGCGCAAAAUGAAACAACUGGUUGAAUACAAAUAGAAACCCCCUAGUGUGAGAAAUGUCAGAAAGUUGGACACAAUUGUGGAGCUCAAAAGCAGAAACCAACAACAAGAUAAUGGGUCCCAAAAAAUUCUCAACAAACAGUGGUGAAGGAGACUCCUAAGGAAACUAUAGAAAUAGCUACCACUAGUACAACUCAGAUCAUUGGGACUCCUACAAGCAUUGAGAUGGAACAGGUGGAGUGGACCAAGGUUGGCAAAAGUCGAAGAGACAUGGGAAAGAAAGCUAUGUCACCUCAACAAACAGAUUUGAAGCACUAGGAUUGAGAAAAGACUUAGGGUCUGUUUGAAUUACUUCUCAAAAACUGUUUUUUAAUUUUUAAAAAAUAAAAACUAAAAAACUUGUUUGAUAAACUAUUUUUAAAAUAGUAGUUUUAAAAAUUAGAUUUGUUUUUUAGUUUUAAAAACUGAAAGAGUAAAAUUGAUAAAUAUAGUUUCAGUUUUUAAUAUGUAGUUUCAGUUUUCAUUUUCAAUUUUUUUUAAAAAAAAUCCCAAAAAUAAAAAUUUAUGGAAAAAUAUAAAUUUUUAUUAAUGGUAUUUUGAUGAUUUAUUUAUUUAUUUAUAUAUAAUUUCAAAAGGAUAUCAAUAUUGUACGAAGAAUUUUGAGAAGAAAAAAAAUCCAUAAUAAUAAUAAUUAUGAUUUGUAUAAAUGUUUAGCAUAAAGCCAUUACUAAAUCCUAAAUACUAAUGGCGGAUCAUUUUAAUUUUAUUCAUGCAUUCAAGUUCUGUUUUUUUUCUUUAAAUAACUUAAUUCUUUCGAUUUUUUAUAUUUUCAUUAAUGUAAUUAUAUAUAUAUAUAUAAAAAUAUUUUACAUAUACAUCCAACUAAAUUACAUCAAAUAAAUAUACUAAAAAUUAAUCUAAUAAUGUAUCACUAGCAUGUAUUUUGAUUCGAUUAAAAAGUUUUACAUAGUAAGUACAUACAAAUUUACUUAAGAUUAUUUAAAAAAAAGUAUGGCUCAAAAACCUAACUAUAGGAAGGCAUGAAGACAAUAGGCGCCUAGGGGUGGCAAAACAGGCCCGGUCCGCCGGGCAUGCCCGUUUUUCCCGCACCUUAGUGCAGGGCGGGCCAAGGAUUUAGGCCCCCAACAUCUAAUGUGUCCGCCCCGCCCCACCCCGUUCUUUUCCGCAGGCUUUUGUGGGCACGUGCGUUUACAUAAUUUUUUGCAUUUUUAGGCUUAAAGAGUGCAGUGUCCGCGGGCUUUCCCCUUCCCGCCCUCACUUUUUUGUAGGACGGGCCUAAGUUUUAGGCCCACAUCCUCAAUUAUGACCGUCCCGCCCCACCCCGUUUUUUUGCGGGCUUUUGCGGGGCAGACCUAUAUGGGGCGGGCAUGUCCGUUUGCCACCCCUAUAGGCGCCACGUGGACGACAGUAAAGAAGGGCAUCGAGGACCCGAUCCAGAUUUUCAAAUUAUACUCAGUUGAACAUGUUUAGAGGAAAAAUUCUACAAGAGUGUGCUAAGGCCUAGGUAAAGAACGCCAGAGAUAAGAUAUCCCAAUAACGUAAAGUAGUUAGCACAAAUCGAUAGAUCAAAAUUUAAUUAUUAAUUAUAAUAAAAAUAUUUUAAAUAUAUAUUUGUUAAUAAAAGUGUUCUUAAAAAUUAGACUACCAAAUAGAUUUUUUAUUUUCUCAUCUCUAGAACUGUUUUUGAAAAUUAACUUAUCAAAUGAAUUUUUUAUUUUCUCAUUUCUACAAUAGUUUUGAAAAGUUAAAUUAUCAAACAAAUUUUUUAUUUAUUCUCUUCUUAAAAAGAAUUUUCUAAAACAAUUUUAUAAAAUAAUUUUUAAAAAGUAAAAAGCAAAACUCAUUCAAACGAGCUCUUAUUGUUUCAUGAAGAUGUCUCGUGAUUAUUGCUUGGAAUGUGAGGGGGCUCAAUAAAUCAGGUAAUAUUAGGGAGACUAGAGUGAAAAGUAAUAAGGCUGAGGCUAUUAGAGGCAAAUUGAACAUGAGAGGUAAUUACUUGGAUUACUAUAACAAGGAUGACAACGGUAGGAUUUGGGUGUUUUGGAAAGACAACAACGUUAUCAUCAAGAUGAUCAAGAGCACUGACCAAAUGAUACACUGUGGGAUCUUUGAGUUAAAUUAGGACUUAAGCUAUUAGAUGAUUGCUAUAUAUGCCUUGAAUCAAUUAGAUCAGAUAAAGAAUCUUUGGAAAGACAUUGAAGAUAUUAACUGCAAACAAAAGGGUUCAUGGUUCUUAUUGGGAGACUUCAACAAUGAUUUGAUAUCUCAAGACAUGAUUGGGGGGAAUAUGGCAACUGAAAAAGGAGUACAUUGACCUGAUAAGAAUGAUGGAACAAAUUGGAUUAUAUGAAAUGGGCAGCAGUGGGGACUAUUUGGUCUAACAAACAAAGUGAGAAUUUUAUCUAUUUCAGAAUUGACAGAGUGCUAGGUAAUUUGGAAUGGCUUCAGGAUCAUAGUGACUAUGAUGUCACUGUUAUCCACCCUAGUGUGUCUGAUCAUGCCAUGCUUUGCUUGAAAAGGUAUGAUAUUCUUUGGAAAAUAAUAGGAAAAUAAAUAGUUUCAAGUUUAUUAUCAAUGUUGCUGAUUUUGAGGGCUUUUUUAGUGUUGUUGAGAGAAGUAGGAAUGCCCCCUAUUAAUGGUAUGCCAAUGUAUAUUCUUUGGAAAAAACUGCAAAGAUUACAACCUGUUCUUAAUGCUAUGAGUAAGCUUAUUACUGAUGUGAAGCUGAAUAUUAUGAAAGCUAGGGAAAACUUGCAAACAACCUAGUUGAAUCUUUGCAAUGACAAAAUGAAUAUGACCAAGAUUGAUCUGGUAAAGAAACAUACUGAGGAGCUUAUUAACUUGAAGGAGAUGGAGGAAAAUGUGCUUAAACAAAGGCUAAAUUGGAUUGGCUAAAACUAGGGGAUGGAAAUAAUAAGUAUUUCCAUGCCUCCAUUAAAGCUAGACACAAGAAGAAAAGUAUGAAUACUCUACAAAAGAAUGAUGUUACUCUUCUAACUACUCAAAAUGAUAUUCAAAGGGAGGUGUUGGAUUUCUAUACUAAUCUGAUGGAUACAACUGACAUUUUAUUGGAUGGCAUUGACAUUAAUGCCAUGAGAAAUGCCCCCCAAUUGAAUAAUGAUCAUAGGGAAAUGCUUAUUGCUCUAGUUUCUGAUUAGGAGAUUGUCAAGGCUCUUAAAGGUAUUGGUGAUCUGAAGUCUCCAGGGUUGGAUGGGUAUGGGGAUUACUUAUUUAAGAAAGAUUGGCAAGUAGUGAAGACUGAUAUGAUAAAUGGUGUCCAAGACUAUUUUAUUAAUGGUAGAAUCUACAAAGCUUUUAACUGCACCUUGGUGAACAUCAUCCCUAAGAGUAUGGAGGCAAAAAUUAUUAGGGAUUAUAGACCUAUUUCCUGUUGUAUCACCAUCUAUAAGAUUAUCUCCAAAGUUCUAACUUCUAGAAUGAGUAAUAUUUUGGAGAGUAUUGUUGAUAAGAACCAGGCUGCAUUUGUCCCAUGCUAAGAUAUUCACAACCAUAUCCUUUUGUCUUAUGAGCUUAUUAAGGGCUACACUAGGAAGGGAGGUACUCCUAGAUGUAUGAUGCAGGUGGCCAUUCAAAAAACCUAUGAUUAGUUGAUUGGAAUGUUAUGGAGUGUAUUCUUAAUGAUAUUAGGUUCCUUAGACUGUUCACUAAUUAGAUUAUGCUUGUUGUUUCUUCUGUCUCUUACAAGUUCAAUGUCAAUGGAGAUUACUUAGGCAUUAUGCUGGCUAAAAGAGGGUUGAGGUAGGGUGAUCCCAUCUCACCUUUGCUCUUUAUCAUUGUCAUCGAUUACUUGAACAUAAUUUUACAUAAAAUGCAGAGGAACAACAACUUCAAUUUCCAUGCCAAAUGUGAAAAACUAGGCCUUGCCAACCUUUGCUUUGUUGAUGACCUACUGUUGUUUUCUAGAGGGGGCAUU